CUUUUUUUUUUUUUUUUUUUUGUUUAUCGUGAAUUUAAUUUGAGUUUGAGAAGUGGACUCGCUGCUGUUGCACAUUUGUCAAAACAUCAGCAACGACAGCAUGAAUAGGUUGAAUGGGAGAGGCUCUGGAACGCCACUUUGGAGCUUUUCCCUGGAGAAAAUCAGAUCAGCCCAUUGUGACGGUCCCCCCAGCCCACCCCCACCCCACACACACACACACACACACCUUUGGGUUUUGGAGCUCAGUAUUAAUUCCUUCAAACUGUGGUGACAACAAAAGCUCGCGACAAUAGCCCGAAUCUAUAUUUACACUGCUCUAGUUUGUUGUAAAGUGGGUGUGGAUCAACAAGGUUUAUAUUCUUUUCUUCCUUAAGCCAUGUGACAGUCAGUUCUUUGUAUUUUUUACUCUACAUUGUCAAUGAGUCUUCAAACUUGUUUUUUUUUUUUAACCCUCUCCCCCCCUCCUCCAACAGCGCACGAGCAGGAACCUUUCGGUUUAUAUUAGGAGCAACAACAGAUUUGUAUUGCAGUCACAGUAAACUGUUAAAACGCCUUCAAGACACAAAGCAGCAGCUGACAGGGAAUAUUUGAGGGAGUUUGCGGUGUAGGAGGACACUUUGAGGGCCCCGUUGUACAGCAGAAGUUUGAAGGUGAGGCUAAGUAAACUUAGAAAAGUGAUUUCUCAGAAAUGUGGGGGGCCUCGCUGUUCCUCAUCUCAAGGUGGGUACGCCACAAAGGAUGUCGGGGAGACAAAGUGUUUAUGAGUUGUUUGAGGUUGCAGUUUAAUCUUUUUUUUUUUUAUUUUGGAUCCAGUGCAAAUAAAGAUGCUGGAAUUGCCAAAACAACUGUUUGUCAGCGUUUUUGGCUCGCUGGCAAACGUCAGAUGAAGAAAGACUUGACAGAGUAAGAAAGAGAAGAAGAAGAAAAAAGAAGAUGGUGAAUGCAUAAAAGACGGAUAGUAAAGAGUGAAACAUCAGCAGAGGGUUUUGAUGCACUUAUUGAUCUUGGCAGACUGACACUCCCUCUCAUCCCUUGCAGUCUCCUUCUCCCUCCCAGCAGAAAUCUAUUUUUUGCGCACAUCAGCAGAAACGGGGAGGGGAAAAAUGGCUUUGGGUUGUUAAUGAACUCAACCCUGGGUCAUGUGAUAUAACUUUGUUGGGAGGAAUUGGAAUAUCAUUAGAUUUUAUAAAGACCUUUAGUCGGACCCAAAACUUUAUUAUUGGUUUCCUUUAAUAGAAUAAAUGUUUGUACUUCCUGUUGUAGAAGAGCUUCUCCCAGAAGUUUGCAAAGAAUAAUCAAUAAGGAACUGUGGACGUCAAUACAUUUGAACAACAAUGGAAAAAAGUAUAUCCAUCCAUUGUCUACUGGCUUCUCCCUGGUGGGUUGUGGACGCCAUUAAAAAAUGUGUUGAGUGAUAUUGCAGCUGUGUAUUUAUUUUACAUAUUAUGACUGAGAGAACAUCAGAUGAUGAGCUAUAUAGAACAAAUCUUUUAGGAUACACUUGAAAAAAAAUUUAAUAUAAAGGUGGCAGAACUUUUCCCUCUAAGAUCAAAGAUCCUUGGCUCCAAUCCUGGUCUGCAUGGAGUUUGUAUUUGUGCGCUCUUCCCUGCUUCUUUCUCCCAUGGUCUAAAAACCUGCCUGUUUGAUUAAAUGGUCUCUUUAAAUUGUCUUUUAGGUGUGAGUGUUGUGCUGUGUGGUGUGUCCCUGGUGACCUGUACUCUCGCCCAGUGACCCGUGGAGAUGGGCAUCAUCACCUCUGUUACCCUGCAGGGUUAAUGACACGAGUACAACAAGCAACUAUCAGCUGGUUAAUUAGUCCAUCUGCCCAGUCUGUUUGGAUUUUAAGCAAAAAAUAUAUUUAUUAGCUGUCGUGUGGGGAAGAAGACUCUGGACAACCUGGACACUUGCAGUGAUCUCCCGUUACAACUCUAGAGACGGUGGACGCUGUUCAGCGGGACUAAAACUUUAAAAAAACCUUGAUAUGCCUUGACACCAGUGACCAGACAUGUGUCUCAUUUGAAAGUCAGGGUUUGUGGCAAUUUAUGUUGGUGACCUGGCUCUAUAACUAGCAUGGCAUAGCCAGGGCCA